UACGUAGGGUGCAAGCGUUAAUCGGAAUUACUGGGCCUAAAGCGUGCGCAGGCGGUUUUGUAAGUCUGUCGUGAAAGCCCCGGGCUCAACCUGGGAAUUGCGUUGGAGACUGCAAGGCUAGAAUCUGGCAGAGGGGGGUAGAAUUCCACGUGUAGCAGUGAAAUGCGUAGAGAUGUGGAGGAACACCGAUGGCGAAGGCAGCCCCCUGGGUCAAGAUUGACGCUCAUGCACGAAAGCGUGGGGAGCAAACAGG
rnacentral:rRNA from 1 species